rnacentral:ncRNA from 2 species
UACACUCGCACGCGUUUUGGUGCUCGCGUGCGGAUUCUCUUGGCACGCAGUUGAACGGGAAACAGGGAAGCUCGCCGCGCCGCGGACGACCUCAACCUGUGCUGCCCCCGCAACGGUAAGCGCAUGCAUCGCGCAAGCGAUGCGAGCCCCGCUUCACCGCGCCCCGAGUCGCUCGGGCGCGCGGCCCGGCCACUGGACGCGAGACGCGUCCGGGAAGGCGAAGCGGCGCUGUCGCCAGCCCGGAUACCGGCCAGAACCACGGAAGCGCC